rnacentral:rRNA from 1 species
AGGAUAAACGCUGGCGGCGUGCCUAACACAUGCAAGUCGAGCGGGGUAGCGAAUAACCCGAGCGGCAGACGGGUGAGUAACGCGUGGUCAACCUUCCGAUGAGUGGGGGAUAACUAGCCGAAAGGUUAGCUAAUACCGCAUACGACCUUCAAGCGGCAUCGCUUGAAGUUGAAAGGAGCAAUUCGCUCAUCGACGGGACCGCGUCCCAUUAGCUGGAUGGUGGGGUAAUGGCCUACCAUGGCGACGAUGGGUAGCUGGUUUGAGAGAGCGACCAGCCACACUGGGACUGAGAAACGGCCCAGACUCCUACGGGAGGCAGCAGUGAGGAAUUUUCCGCAAUGGGCGCAAGCCUGACGGAGCGACGCCGCGUGUGGGAAGAAGGCCUUCGGGUCGUAAACCACUGUCGAAGGGGACGAUAAUGACGGUACCCUUGGAGGAAGCCCCGGCUAACUACGUGCCAGCAGCCGC